GACGAACGCUGGCGGCGUGCCUAAUACAUGCAAGUAGAACGCAGUUGCGAACGGGUGAGUAUCGCGUAGGUAACUGCCUCAUAGCGGGGGAUAACUUACUGAAACGAUAGCCAAUACCGCAUACUGUGAGAUGGACCUGCGUUGUAUUAGCUAGUUGGUGUGGUAAAGGCUCACCAAGGCGACUAUACAUAGCCGACCUGGGAGGGUGAUCGGGCACACUGGGACUGGGACACGGCCCAAAAUCCCACGGGAGGCAGCAGUAGGGAAUCUUCGGAAAUGGACGGAAGUCUGACCGAGCAACGCCGCGUGAGUGAAGAAGGUUUUCGGAUCGUAAAGCUCUGUUGUUAGAGAAGCGGUAACUAAACAGAAAGGAACGGCUAACUACGUGCCAGCAGCCGCGGUAAUAC
rnacentral:rRNA from 1 species